UAACACGUAAGGGGCGAGCGUUGUUCGGAUUUAUUGGGCGUAAAGGGCGCGUAGGCGGUAGUGCAAGUCCGGUGUGAAGUCCCCCGGCUCAACCGGGGAGAUGCGCUGGAAACUGUGCUGCUAGAGUCUAGGAGGGGAAGCUGGAAUUCCUGGUGUAGGGGUGAAAUCUGUAGAGAUCAGGAAGAACACCGGAGGCGAAGGCGAGCUUCUGGCCAUAGACUGACGCUGAGGCGCGAAAGCGUGGGGAGCAAACAGGAUUAGAUACCCUGGUAGUCCACGCUGUAAACGAUGUGCACUAGGUGUCGGGGGUAUGAACUCUCGGUGCCGGAGCUAACGCGUUAAGUGCACCGCCUGGGGAGUAUGCUCGCAAGGGUG
rnacentral:rRNA from 1 species